GUGCUCACUUUGGCAGCACAUAUGCUAGAAUUGGAAUGAUACAGGAAGAUUAGCGUGGCCCCUGAGCAAGGAUGACAUGCAAAUUCAUGAAGCGUUCCAUAUUUUU
rnacentral:snRNA from 1 species